GGGGCUAUAGCUCAGCUGGGAGAGCGCUUGAAUGGCAUUCAAGAGGCCGACAGUUCGAUCCUGUCUAGCUCCACCA
rnacentral:tRNA from 1 species